rnacentral:lncRNA from 1 species
CACAGCUUGGCGUGGCUCCGAUGGACAGUAGCGUGAAGAGGGUGGAUUGAAAAUUUCGUGCGGAGCAACUGACUGGAAAACGUACUUAGUGUCUCUUUUUUCGUGGUGAUGGCUACAGAUGUGCCGGAAAGUGCUGGAAACAUUCUUCCCUUUCUCUGCCUUCACCAAGGAGGAAACGGUGCAGUGUUUCUUAAAACUGAAGAACUUCUCCCCAGGGGAUUUAAUUUUUUUUUUUUUUUAUGUUUCUGAGAAAGAUAGUAUAAUUUUCUAGCCCCUAAAGAAGGCUUUUUAGUUUACAGGAGGAGGACUAUCAGGAAGCCUCUUUUCCAGAGACCAUGAAAAGGGAUUGUGAAAGCGACCAUGACACUGAGAACACAAGAUGAUUCAUCUGUAUCUUUUUCUACAUCAGAUGAAGUCCAGUUGACAUCCCUGCCCACCUGGACUCAUGAGAAGACUCUUUCCCAUGCCUGCACAGUUCUUUCAGAAAAGGCCAAAUCUGCUGGUACCCGCCACCUCACUUCCACUCGUAUGUCUCCUGACUCCCUGGAUGAAGCGAAUAUUGAAGGGCCUCUCUUCAGCUCCAUUUAUAUGUUUCUAUACCAAACUGAGCUUGUUUGAGAAGAAGUGAUGGAGCUGUGGUCUUCACGCAGGUGUCCAUGACUCCCUCCUCAAGUCACUAAAGACUUCAGCUCCCUGAUGGUGGCCAGGGAUAACAACUUCCACCUGCUGAGUGCACACCAUGUCUGGGCCUGGCGCAGACACUGUUCCAGCCUGAAGAGGCUGCACAAAAGCUCAGGCAUGGCCAGACAGUGCUUGGUUGGAGGGCCUUCUCCUUCCUGGAAACCACCCUGUGUGUAAUGUUUGCGUGACAUUUCUUGGUUCUUCAUAGCUUCACAGGACAGGGUGUAGCAUCCUGGUGAAUGAAAAAAGCAAGUUGCAGAAUGAUA